rnacentral:sRNA from 1 species
UCCCCUCUGUCCUACCCGGAUCCACCAAC